AGGAAGGUAAUAAUCGUUUUGCCAUUGUAGUUGUAAAGGUAUAUUAAUUUUACUUUUUGGUUUUGAUUGCCAAAUGGUCUUAGUUCUCAACUAUAGUUCUCAACUACCGUUUAUAAUCUUUAUCCUCAUUUUUCAGCCAUAUAUUACUUAAAUUUUUUUUUCUGGUGAGCAGGAAAUGUCAUACAACAAUUAUCUGGGUGUUGACUCAGCGUGGAACUGCGUAUCAGAUUCUGAAAACCCGACAUGUGCAGUCAUGAAGCACACAAAUCCUUGUGGUGAGGCCUACCAGCUAGCUGUAAUAGCUGAUCCAGGUAGCACAUUUGGUGGUAUUGUAGCCACCAAUGUCAAAGUAGACAAGGGAUUGUUCGCAACAAAAAGAAAAGACAUCUAUUGUGUUACUGAUCACAAGCUCACCAUCUGUUUCACUCAGAAUAUUGUCCUCUCGGAGCUUCAAUACAACCCAGUUGUGAUCGAGAGAAACAUGUUCAGGUUCCGUUCAUUCCAAGAGUUUGAGGGGUGAUUUGUAUGAUAUCAUCGGCCCAUGAAGGUCAUCAAUUGACAGUCUCUCAGCAAACACCCGGUCUUGAACGGAGGCAGCACUCCCACCUACAGCCAAAACAAUGACCUAUGAUUAAUGUCUACCUUUGGGACCAGGCUUCUCAUGAGUCCCACAACAGGUUCAAUGAAAGUCUUGCCACUCUUGCUGUUGCAUUAGUAACAGCAGUUAACUCUAAACGUAUUGGACGUACCGUGCUGAGAUAUCUGUCUACGACAAUGUCGUUAAGGCAACUUUUGUGCUCCUUAGUAAUACUGGUCCUGAGUUAACAGGGAGGCAGGCGUUAGAGCUUAUUGACAAUUACUUCGAGGCUAAUGGGGACAUCGGUGCUAACCAUGAGAUGCCAACUCCACAAUGUCUGGUGGAAGUCUCAAGCUCCAACCUUACAGUUAAGAGACAGACCAUAAGUGUGACGAAGGUUGUUUCUCCUGCAGUUCUGCCACCAUUUGUAGUAGCAGAAAGCCAACCAGACGCAAUCGAUGAAGAGAGCACAUGCUCCUGGAUUAAUUCAUUUCUGUCAUAGGGAGUCUAGCAUAACUUUAUCCAAACUAUUUUUGAACUCUCUGUUCUU